rnacentral:rRNA from 1 species
CUACGUGCCAGCAGCCGCGGUAAUACGUAGGGCGCGAGCGUUGUCCGGAAUUAUUGGGCGUAAAGGGCUUGUAGGCGGUUGGUCGCGUCUGCCGUGAAAUUCUCUGGCUUAACUGGGGGCGUGCGGUGGGUACGGGCUGACUUGAGUGCGGUAGGGGAGACUGGAACUCCUGGUGUAGCGGUGGAAUGCGCAGAUAUCAGGAAGAACACCGGUGGCGAAGGCGGGUCUCUGGGCCGUUACUGACGCUGAGGAGCGAAAGCGUGGGGAGCGAACAGGAUUAGAUACCCUGGUAGUCCACGCUGUAAACGAUGAGUGCUAGGUGUUAGACCCUUUCCGGGGUUUAGUGCCGUAGCUAACGCAUUAAGCACUCCGCCUGGGGAGUACGACCGCAAGGUUGAAACUCAAAGGAAUUGACGGGGGCCCGCACAAGCGGUGGAGCAUGUGGUUUAAUUCGAAGCAACGCGAAGAACCUUACCAGGUCUUGACAUCC